AUUAGCUCAGUUGGUUAGAGCACCUGACUCUUAAUCAGGGUGCCCUGGGUUCGAGUCCCAG
rnacentral:tRNA from 1 species